ACCACAGGUACGUUGGUGGUGGAAUGCAUGGGGACAUUUGCGGGCUGCUUUCAGCACACAUUAACCUAAUGAUGCACUUCAGUUUAUGUUUCAAUGUACAGCAUUAUUCCUCCUCACUAUUUGUGACAUCUACCAGCAGCUGUGCAGACAAAAGGCUUGAAGCGUCGCUGACGAUCCCUGCCACCCAUCCCACAAUCUCUUUGCCCCACUACCAUCGGGAAGGAGGUACAGGAGCGUCUGGACCAGGGUACAGGCAGAGAAACAGUACAUAUACAAUCGCCAUGUGUAAUCGUCACUUCCACGUGGGGAGUUUCUGUCAGGAAAUAAGACACGGAAUGGCUACACAGUGAAGGAAAUCAAUUGGGCCUCAGAAUGACUGACGGAAAAAGCAGGAAAUCUAACAAUGGGGAGGAACCCAUCACGAGCACCUGCCAUCCCUACAUUUCCACGCUUUCUGGAAGGAACACCAGGAUCGUGAAGAAAUACCGGAUAAAUACCAUCCACAAACUGUAAGGAAGCUCGAAUUCCGGCUUCAGUGGGUCAAAGUAGACUUGGGACUCAGGAUGGCAGGUUUUUACUGAUUCCCCGCGAACGCGUAUUCCCUGUAAACCGGCUGGGUGUGGAAACCCACGUCAAGGAGCCCAGGUGUGUACCCGUUUGGGUUACCUGGAGAAAUCGGAGGCAGCAGAACAUUGCAUUCACAAUAGCCACAGGAUUGACUUUGUCGGCAGAAAACUACUGUGACGUGCCUGUGGUUUCUCUGGGACCGCCAGACGAGCGGAACCACUGGGGUACGACUGGACAGUAAGAAUUCCAACAGCUCUCGCUCCAAGUAAGAACUGGAUAUGAUUUUGAACAAGGUGGGACAGCAGCAACCUGAUAGGUUGAGGACUAACCAAUCAGGAGGGACGGACGAUGGGGGUAUAAAUACCACUGGACUAGAUGUGCCCAGGCAUCAUCCUUGCUGAAGGUGGCAGAGUUUGUCAGUUGAAGAUGACGCCUGGACCUGGCUGGAAGCCCAAGAAGCGUUUAUGGAUACGGUCAGCUGACAAUGAACUGGAACUUGAACGUGUGAUAAAUAAAUGAAUGCGGAUCUGGGUAAUAAACCGAAACCAAGUUGGAUUGUUAUGUUUUGUAACUCCAAAAUACAACUAAUGGAAAGAAAAGCAUGGAGCUGGGAGGCGUUUCAUUUUUACCCGUGGUGAGGUAUGCACGUAUGAUGUGGUGGCGUAUGUCAUUCAUGUGCUUUUACAUAUAAUCCGUGAUGAAUUAUGUAAACAGACAAUGCUCAAAGAAUAAAUUUACAAUAUUACUCAAAUAUUACCAAAAUAGUAAAUACACAACAUGAAUCUUGAGCAGUUCUCAGAAAUGUUAGCGAGAGAAUUGAACUUAUAGCCGAUCACCAAAGCCCUGUACCCUGCCGUGCGCCUGGAUUUGCUGAAAACGAUACUGAUUUUCUUCAUGUUCGGCUGCCCCUUUCCCAUUCUGUUCUCUGCUUUAGUCGUCUAAGAACACGGCAUAGCACAGCUCUGAAUAAAGCAAUCCGUUCACAGACGUUCUUGCUACCUGCAUUCCAGUUUUCCACGUCCCUCUGAAUGAUUUUCAAUGCCAAUAGUGCUACUUGGAUGUGAGCUGUUGGUGAAUGUAAUACUUCCUUACUGAUUGUAUUAGUCAGUGAAAUUUCAGUGAAGCAUCAGGUAGCUUCAGCAAUAGAGCACGGCUGUCUGUUAUUGAUUCCACACUAAUUGGAUAUGAAACGGAUCACAGUGUUAUAACUCUUCUUUACAGGGGAUUUUAUUUCUUCCUUCCAUCCUUUGGUUUAUUAUCGUCACCCGUACCACGAUGCAGUGGGAAGCUUCUUUUGCAUACAGUCCAUAGAGAUCAAUAGUGAUUUUUGAAUUUGCACCAUUUGUUUUCUUUUGCACACUGCUUGUUUGUCAGUCUUUGUUUACGAGCAGAUUUUCAUUGAUUCUGUUGUAUGUCUUUUUAUCUAUUGUGACUGUCUGCCACAAAAUGAAUCUCAGGGUUGUAUACAGUGAUAUAUAUGUACUUCGAUAAUAAAUUUACUUUGAAUUUGAA